GGGCCCGUAGCUCAGGGGUUAGAGCCGGUGGCUUAUAUCCACCUGGUCGCUGGUUCAAAUCCAGCCGGGCCUACCA
rnacentral:tRNA from 1 species